GACCUCCACCUGCCCGGGUUUGUUUAGAGUUUGCUCUCCUAGGUGAAUUGCCUCCCACGGCUAACGACCUCCACCUGCCCGGGUUUGUUUAGAGUUUGCUCUCCUAGGUGAAUUGCCUCCCACGGCUAACGACCUCCACCUGCCCGGGUUUGUAUAGAGUUUGCUCUCCUAGGUGAAUUGCCUCCCACGGCUAACGAGCCUCACCUGCCCGGGUUUGUAUAGAGUUUGCUCUCCUAGGUGAAUUGCCUCCCACGGCUAACGAGCCUCACCUGCCCGGGUUUGUAUAGAGUUUGCUCUCCUAGGUGAAUUGCCUCCCACGGCUAACGAGCCUCACCUGCCCGGGUUUGUAUAGAGUUUGCUCUCCUAGGCAGAUUGCCUACCACGGCUAACGAGCUCCACCUGCCCGGGUUUGUAGCCGGAAGAUCUCCGGCACCUCCGUCGGGGCCCCGAGGGACGCCGAGGAGCCCUGCCUGGAGCCCUCCAGUCCUGCCAUGCUCGCCAGGGAGACCUUGG